AACGAACGCUGGCGGCAGGCCUAACACAUGCAAGUCGAACGCUGUAGCAAUAUAGAGUGGCAGACGGGUGAGUAACGCGUGGGAACGUGCCUUUCGGUUCGGAAUAACUCAGGGAAACUUGAGCUAAUACCGGAUACGCCCUUCGGGGGAAAGAUUUAUUGCCGAAAGAUCGGCCCGCGUCCGAUUAGCUAGUUGGUGUGGUAAUGGCGCACCAAGGCGACGAUCGGUAGCUGGUCUGAGAGGAUGAUCAGCCACACUGGGACUGAGACACGGCCCAGACUCCUACGGGAGGCAGCAGUGGGGAAUAUUGGACAAUGGGCGCAAGCUUGAUCCAGCCAUGCCGCGUGAGUGAUGAAGGCCCUAGGGUUGUAAAGCUCUUUCGCCAGGGACGAUAAUGACGGUACCUGGAUAAGAAGCCCCGGCUAACUUCGUGCCAGCCGCCGCAGUAAGAC
rnacentral:rRNA from 1 species